UGGUGGUGAGCGCCAAACACACAGCCAGACCAUGGCGCUGCGGGCGGGCGGAAGAGAGCAGAGGAGAGCCGCUGAGAGCCAACCCCGGCGGAGCGCGCCGGCGGGGACACGCGCGAGACGGUGAGACGCGCGGGGCUGUACCUAGUGGGCUAGUUGGUUGGAGAACAAGUCCUUGGAGUCAAGUAUCCAGGACCCAGAUUCUGACUGUACUCCUCAGCAGCUCUGUGACCUUGGACCCUUGAAUUUACUGCGUGGGGACAUGCCCCAGAUGCUGGCAAUGAGCGCUAACCACUUGAGGCUUGCAACAGUUUGCUGAGGACGUGGAGAAGCAAGGAUUUCGCAGACUCCACUCUGAGGGGACGGGCAGCAGCAACAUCCAGUUUUCAGAGACGGCAGAGCGUGGUUCUGGGGCCAGAGGGCCAUACCCACCGUCCAUGGGUUGGUAGUACAUGUUAUGGCGUCUCUGUCCAGCUCUCAUGGCAGUGAUGCCUUCAUCAGCCAGCUCUGUGGUAUGUGAUUUUGGACAUUGCUUGUAUCUGCAAAAACUUUCGUGUCCGGUUCUCCUAAUGAUUUUGUCAGCUACCCAAUAUCCCUUUAUUAAAUCUACU